CUGGGGGGGGCGCCCGUUCCAAUCCCACCCCCUUUCCUUGUGCUUUCGCUGGCUGUGAAGGCGGAGUAGGGUUUGGGGAGGUCCAAAUCGCGCCGCCAUCGGAGUAGAGCUUCAGUGGAGGAGUCCAGCGGUGGCGCGUCGGGCGCAGCCGCCGACCGACGCCGCCCUGCUACACUCGCGCGCUUUCGCCGGCCGGAACUCUUCACCUGCAUUGGGGAUCCGUUUGGUUGUGCGUUUCUUUUCCGAUUUGCUGCCGAUGCUUCCCUUGCUGAUUCAUGUCCCCCUUGUGCGUGUUCCUAUCUUCGACGGUGCAGGGUCGUACCGAUUGCCUGGCUCUGCUCUCCUCUUCGGUCCUCCCCCAUUGGCCGUGAAGAAGGUUCAAUGUCGUGGCCGUGGAGGAGGUGGCGGAUUCGUCGCCGGCGAGGAACGCACAGCAACAACAAUCAACAGUAAAGAGGUGGGUGGACUAUAGAUCUGCAAGGGGCUCCAUCAACGGCGGGAGGUCUGCUCAGAGUCCCUUGCUCUGAUAGUCAGAUACAAGCUUGUGCCUCUCCCUCUCCCUCUUACAUUGGCCCGUUCCCCAUCCUCCCUGUGCAACCUUGGGCAGCCGCCUGUCCUCUUUACCCUCCUGCAGCCACAGCCUCACAUAUGUUCUUGAUUGAGGUGCUUCGCUGCCGGAUGCAGGCACCUUCUCAGUCUUCCUUGAGUGCGUCAUUGCAUCAUUAGUUGCCGUUGUUGGCUAUAGGUGACGAGUCCAGAUGACCACUACAUGGUUACUGCUCUCUGUUGAUUGCAACUAAUUGUUGUUUCUGUCUUUGAUAAGCUGGAUAAUCACUAGCCAUUUUAUUUUUCAGUUAUUUGUUGAUGAAUCUAGAGAUACUAAAACAAAAUGCAUCUUUGGCAUUACAGGUGAAUCCCAAUUGGUUCCACUACAUUGGCCUGUACGUAAACCUUCUAACCUCUUCGACUUACAAAUUAUAAUAUAUCUGAUCACUUUAAGCUGUUGUAUGUUGGAGAAAUCUGAGAGUAUUCCUGCUAGGUUUGAAAAGGGGGGAAUUUACUAAUAACCUGCAGGGGAAAUAUUUAGCAAUUACAUACACAUGAAACGAUCUAUCACGGUAUCUUCUUUGUCGGAAUUUUUAAAGAAAAUACCUUACAUUAAGAUUGACGAUGUACUAAAAUUGGAGCUGGUUAGGUAUAUGUAGCUUCAGCAUGCUCUCAUUUUAAUCAAUUUAUCAAACUAAAUUUUUUUUUAAUAUAGCUCAUGGCAUCAGGGGGCUCUGUUUCGUGUUUCCUGUACAUAUAGGCCUGACAGUUUUCUUAUUUUGUGAUGAAAAAAGUCAGACAUAGACAAUAAGGAAAAUGAAUUACCAAGCGAGAGUGAUAUGAUCGAUGUAAUAAAAUUGGUAUGAAAAGUUGUUACUAUAUUUCCUCCACGCCUCUUAAUUGUACAUGAAAGAAAAAAUGUGUAUCGAUUUUUCUUUGUGUCUAUUUCUUUUAUGGAACCUGGAAAGGUAUUUUCCAUCAAACCAUGUUAUGUAUUACUAAGGUGUUACAGUACAUGUGUAAUUACCUUUGCUGAUGAUAAAUUAGCCAUUUGUAAUCUUUGCUGACUAACAAUCAUAUGAUUUGUUGUCACUGUGUUACAUGAAUAUUUAUUCUAAUUGCACUUCCUAUCUUUUGUUUUAUGUUGUUACUAUGUUUAUUUUUUAUUCCUCUAUUUUCUGGGUGCCUUUUCUUCCUGACAAAGGUGAAUGUUCCGCUAGAGAGAUUAGUUUUUUUAAAAAAAUACAGAGAGAUUAGUUUUCAGGAUGUCCUUCAAUAAGCAUGAUACGCCUUACUGGCUAUUGUUUGUUCAACGUUAGUUAAAGCAUAUCGAUUUCCAAAGAUUUUGAUGUGUACCAUUUUUCCCUUUUUCAUUUUUUCAUAGCCUUGCACUAUAUCUCCACCUUUGCAGUAUACACAUAUAUGUUGUUACUUGACUCACUUUUAAUGAUGUCUGAUGCAGAUAGCCUCUCUUUUGCCAGUAAAUCCUCUCUUAUAUCAUUAGCAUACUACUUCAAUUGUGACUUGGUGAUGCGGGUACCAAAUCAUUUCAUUUCCUGAUGAUGAUAAGUCAAUUGUGGCCUGGUGACGCAGACACAAAUCAUUUCAUUUCCUGAUGAUGAGAAGUUAAUUGCACGUAAUUGUGUGAGUCACGGAUCCUUUUGGGGAUUCUUCUUCUCAUGGAAUUUUGUUGCAAACACAAGUAUCAUUCAUUCGAUGUCAAUUCCUUAUCCGUUCCAGCUUUUUUUGGGAUCACAUGAAUGAACUAGAUCUUUGCCAACAAAGCUUUCUUUGAUUGUACCUGUAUCUCUGCCGAGAUGAGAUAAUACUACUAUUAUUUGUAUGUAUUGUUGUACAUUUUAAUUGUGCUUUUCUAUUCAGGCCAAUUGUAUUAUGUAGCCGACUUCUAUACAUAUACUGAUAUACAGUAGAGUAUAUUGUAUAUAGCUGACUUUUAUACAUAUAUAUUUUAAUUUCUGAAUAUGUUCUAUGAACAAAUAAUAUUUUUA